GAUGAACGCUGGCGGCGUGCCUAAUACAUGCAAGUCGAGCGAACAGAUGAGGAGCUUGCUCCUCUGACGUUAGCGGCGGACGGGUGAGUAACACGUGGAUAACCUACCUAUAAGACUGGGAUAACUUCGGGAAACCGGAGCUAAUACCGGAUAAUAUAUUGAACCGCAUGGUUCAAUAGUGAAAGACGGUUUUGCUGUUACUUAUAGAUGGAUCCGCGCCGCAUUAGCUAGUUGGUAAGGUAACGGCUUACCAAGGCAACGAUGCGUAGCCGACCUGAGAGGGUGAUCGGCCACACUGGAACUGAGACACGGUCCAGACUCCGACGGGAGGCAGCAGUAGGGAAUCUUCCGCAAUGGGCGAAAGCCUGACGGAGCAACGCCGCGUGAGUGAUGAAGGUCUUCGGAUCGUAAAACUCUGUUAUUAGGGAAGAACAAAUGUGUAAGUAACUAUGCACGUCUUGACGGUACCUAAUCAGAAAGCCACGGCUAACUACGUG
rnacentral:rRNA from 1 species